AUGUUGGGCCGAUUGCUCAUAUUCCUUCUGGACAUAGUGACGGCGGCCCGCGCCAGACUCCUCCAUAACCCUCUCCUGACCCUUUCCCGUGGCCUCCUCCUCCGCCGCCGCCGCCGCCGCCGAUCGCCGAUCGCCAUGGCUUCUGGUGAGCUGCCGCCGUCCAGGAAGAAAUCCGCUCCCACCACCAUAAGCUCCCUCGGCGACGACCUCCUGUGCGAGGUGUUCCUCCGCCUGCCCUCCCUCCCGACCCUCGUCCGCGCCGCUCUCACCUGCCCCGCCUUUCUCCGAGCCGUCCGUUCGUCCCCGAAAUUCCGCCGCCGCUUCCGCGAUCUUCACCCGGCCCCGCUCCUGGGCGUCUUCCUCGACAUUUACGAGCCUGCCAUGCCCGCCUUCGUGCCCAUCCGCUGCCGGUCCGAUCCGGACCACGCGGCCGCCGUCCGCGGCGCUGAUGUCUUCCUCACCCGCGUCCCCGACGUUGAGGAAGAAGACGACGACGAUGUCUUCGUCACCCGUGUCCCCGAAGGGGAGGGGGAAGGGGAAGGGGAAGGGGAUGCCGAAGUUGAAGACGAAGAAGAAGAAGAAGAAGAAGAAGAAGAAGAAGAAGAAGAAGAAGAAGAAGAUGAUGAUGAUGAAGGGGAAGGGGAAGAGGAAGGGGAUGACGAAGUCGAAGUCGAAGACGAAGACGAAGACGAAGACGAAGAUGAAGGGGAAGAUGAAGAUGAAGAUGAAGACGAAGACGAAGAUGAGGGGGGAGUCGACAAACAUCGGUGGUCAAUGACCGGGUACCGCGCGGCCGAAGGCAAAGGCGACAGCCCCAGGUGGUCAAUGACCGAGUGUCGCGAUGGCUACGUGGUUCUCGUCAACCAGACUGACAACGGGAGCACCAAGCGGGUGGCCGUGUACGACCCCCUUACACGGGGCCUGCACCUCCUCUCUGCGCCACCGGAAGAAAUCUGCGGAGACCCAGAAGACACCGCAGUCGAGUUCCACGUUGUCACCUCCGAAGAGGACCGCCGGUCGCUCCGCGUCGUCUGCGUUGGCAAGGAAAGUGGGGAAGUUCGAGUCGCCGUCUUCUCGCUGGGCAGCAGGAAGUGGCAGAUCUCCCCAGAAGCGGUGAGCCUGCAGCUGGAUGGCGAAGACAAUGGUACACUAGUGAACGGGUGUGUCUACUGGGCAACCGGAGCAGAUAUCCAUGUGCUGAACAGUGCAACGCUGCAAUUCUCCCGGAUCGAUCGGCCUCCGCACAUGCGACGGGAGGGUUACAAGAUCGGCGAGACCAGUGAUGGAAAGCUCUGUGUCGCCUGGGCAACUUCUAGUCCCGGGCUUUCUGUUUGGGUCCGGAGAGCCGACGGCAGCAGUGUCGACAAAUGGAUGCGGGACAGGGCAUUUGGGACGCGUGCGAUUGGUGAGCUCAACCUAGAGUUUGUAGAUGAACUCCCUGUACUGGCAUUGGAUGUUGUGGCCAUCAUCGGUGGCAUUGUGUAUUUGUCUAUCUUCCAGCCAUCGCUUCCAAGUGCUUCAGGCUGGUUCCUAUCCUUCUGCAUUGAGACAAAGGAGCUGAAGAAGGUCUGCCCUAUCACUCGCUCUGAAACUUCCUACCCCUACGUAAUGGCGUGGCCUCCUGUUCUGGUAGGCAAUAAGGUGAACUCUCUCGGCUAG
rnacentral:rRNA from 1 species